rnacentral:rRNA from 1 species
AUUGAACGCUGGCGGCAGGCCUAACACAUGCAAGUCGAGCGGAGCGGCGGACGGGUGAGUAAUGCCUAGGAAUCUGCCUGGUAGUGGGGGAUAACGUCCGGAAACGGGCGCUAUUCCGCCUAGUAACAGGUGAGCCCAGGGCGGAUUAGCUAGUUGGUGGGGUAAAGGCCUACCAAGGCGACGAUCCGUAACUGGGCUGAGAGGAUGAUCAGUCACACUGGAACUGAGACACGGUCCAGACUCCUACGGGAGGCAGCAGUGGGGAAUAUUGGACAAUGGGCGAAAGCCUGAUCCAGCCAUGCCGCGUGUGUGAAGAAGGUCUUCGGAUUGUAAAGCACUUUAAGUUGGGAGGCGUUACCAACAGAAUAAGCACCGGCUAACUUCGUGCCAGCAGCCGCGGUAAUAC